AUGGUUGUGGUAAUGUGGACUUAUCAAAGAUUUGUGUGCUAGAGUAAAAACCGUCGAUUAUCGAUAUUUUCUGAGAGAACAGUGUUCCGCCGUAUACAAAGCGAUGUAUGAAGCGCCAACGAAACUGGAAAAGCUAAACUCGGCCGUAAUGUUCCUAAGGAAAGCAAGCAAAACGUUUCUCCAUCUUGUUAUUUAGCUGCACCAUUCAGAUUUAUCAUCGAUUUACAAAAAUUUCGGAAUUCUAUUCACGCGCAACCACAAAAACAAAGACAAACCUCAGUUUUAUAAUCAUGGCAAAUUACUCGAUAUUGCUGGCCAACCUCAAAGAAAUCAAAACUAAAUAACGGAUGCAACGAAAUGAAAGUCUCGCGCAGUGAAGUGGUCGCGUUUAACGCGUGUUCUUUCCAAUGAUAAUUAUUUUUAUGAAGGAGAGAAAGCGGCCGUAUAUUCACUCAUAUCUAAUAUGUUCAAAACACCGACGUCGGUUGCCUGUGAUCUUGACCGUACCCUGUUUAAUAUAAUAGAGCGGUUUGAAGAAAAAGCAUGCCUCGCACGAAGGACACUGAGGUGAAAGAAAGAACGAAAUGAGAUAGAUCACCUUGCUGGCAAUUAAAACAAACAAUGAAAACGUGAUAGAUGUUGAGCGAGUUUUGUGCUUCCCUAUGGUUCGAGAGACAAAGAAUGUGACGUUAUUAAACAACGAUCCGACGGUGAUAUGCAAACAGGGAGUCAGUGGAUAUUGUAAACAUUUAGCUCCCCUAGCUUGAAUUAUUAUUCAUAAAGAUAGAAGUUAGAGUUUAUGAUGAUGUAAGUAAGAGAUAGAUGUAAGAGUUUAUAAUGACGUAAUGUUAUUCUGUAGAAGAACAAAGUAAGGAGAAAGAAGUUGGGGUUUAUAAUGACGUAAUGUUAUACUGUAGAAGAACAAAGUAAGACAUAGAAGAGGAGUUUAAAAUUUCGUAUUGUUCUACUGUAGAAGAACAAAGUAAGGAGAUAGAAGUUAAAGUUUGUGUAAUGAGAUUGACGUAACAAACUUUUAGCAGUGAAAAGAAAUUCAAAGACCUGCCUUUUAUCUCGAAAAUAAUCAUUGGGAAGACACGCAUGCGUAGCAAGCAUCCAAGAUUUGCAAAGACACACCUGCGUAAUAGGCAACCAAGACUGGAAGAGACACGCAUGCGUAGCAGGCAUUUUUUUCUACCUUUCAAUCCACUGUUUCAAACUUUUAUAAUUUCUAUUGCGCAUGUGUCAAAUCACUGGAUAUAUAUAAUCAGCUCUUUUCAAAAAAUAGAUACGCAAUGCGUACAUGUACGUUCUUCCACAUCAUUACGUCAACGAAAUUCUCAGUGUCUUCAACCAAUUUCUUCCAGAAAUAGAGAAUUUCUUCACAGGAUUCAGCAUCAAAUGAAAAUAAAUCAUACAUAAUUUAAUAUAUAAAAAAAUUAACUUUAAAACUCAUAAUUUAAUAUUUAGUAAAAGUCAUCUCCACAAUGGUAAAUAUAUAUAUAUUUUACUUCUGACUUAAUGUUGUUGAUAAUCAGAGGAGUAGCCAGCAUGCAAUUUUCUCAUUGAUAUGUAAACUUUUUGUUGUUCACUAACUGAACUAAAAACAAUCAAUUUCAAAAGAAUCAUAAAAUUAUUAAAAUAGCAUUCACCAAAUUUCCAGGCUGGCUUUUCCACUGUUGAUGAUCUCAUAUAGAUACAUGUUUGUUGAUGUAGAUUAUUUUGAAAGCAAAACUGGAUGGUCCACCAGGUCUGGAUCAACCUGUUUUACUUCCAGGCAACAAACUUCAAAAAUUAAAAUUUCCCAUUAAACAAGAAUUUUCCCUCAUUUUCAAUAAUAAAAGUUUUCAAUAACAAACACUGAGUAAAUAAGGAAGAUGGCUAGGCCAUUGGUUGUCUCCAAGGAAGAAUGUUGGUAGACAUUAACAUAAAUACAUUACAUAUCAUAGAGCAGGUUUUAUGAAUAAAGAUGAAGCUGUUGAAUACAUAA